GCAGGAGGAAAAAUGGAUUGGUUGGAGGAGAGGAUAUAUUCAGUAUAUUUGGUAGCAGGAGAGAGAAAGAGAGAAGGCAUGCUGGAGAACCAAAGAAGUUCAGUGUAACUGCAGUUCAUAGCGAAGGGGUGGAAAGCUAUGGGAAAUAGAAGAGAGCACUUAACUCUGUGGCGUGGAGUCAUGUCAGGGUGGCCUUCUCAUGACAGUGCUAUCUGAGUGGGGCCUCGGAUGAGUGGGAGGCUAUGGGGCAGUGGCAAGAAUGGGAAAAAUAUUUUAGGCAGAAGCAAAAUAUUAACAUAACCCUGGGAUCAAGAUAAGAACAUCAUAGAAGUCUUUUCCUCUUUCAACCCACAGUUUAGUUUUUUCUCACCUGUAGGCUGAUGAAUUCAUCCGAGCAAAUGCCACCAACAAGCUGACAGUCAUAGCUGAGCAAAUCCAACAUUUGCAAGAACAAGCCAGGAAGGUACUGGAAGAUGCUCACAGAGAUGCCAACCUGC
rnacentral:lncRNA from 10 species